CGUAGGUGGCAAGCGUUGUCCGGAUUUAUGGGUUUAAAGGGUGCGUAGGCGGUUUUAUAAGUCAGUGGUGAAAUCCGGCAGCUUAACUGUCGAUGUGCCAUUGAUACUGUAAGACUUGAGUACUGAUGAGGUAGGCGGAAUUGACGGUGUAGCGGUGAAAUGCUUAGAUAUCGUCAAGAACACCGAUAGCGAAGGCAGCUUACUAAGGAGUAACUGACGCUGAUGCACGAAAGUGUGGGGAUCAAACAGGAUUAGAUACCCUGGUAGUCCACACUGUAAACGAUGAUUACUCGAUGUUGGCGAUACACAGCCAGCGUCUUAGCGAAAGCGAUAAGUAAUCCACCUGGGGAGUACGCCGGCAACGGUG
rnacentral:rRNA from 1 species